rnacentral:lncRNA from 1 species
UCUAGAGGAGGGAGGCAAGGGCGUUUGGAUUUCAACUCUUCACCUGGUGUACCAUUUUAUCAAAGUGGGAGUGUAUUAUACUUAGAUAAAUAUAGCUUCUAAAAACCUAUUGGGAGAGGCUGGCUUUGACUCAGACUGGAGGGAGUAAGGAGUAAGAUGGGAGAAGGGUAUUGGGGAGUAGAAGUAGAAGUGAUGAGGUGACUAUACUGUUGAAGGAAUCUCACUGACGAAUAGUAUUGUUACAAAUUUGUAUCUCCAUCACCUUGGGUUUCCUUAACUUCCUCCUAUCAACAUCUUGGAUAUCAUAGUAUAGGAAGUACCUAAUCAGAAGAAAG